rnacentral:rRNA from 1 species
GACGAACGCUGGCGGCGUGCUUAACACAUGCAAGUCGAACGGAAAGGCCCUGCUUUUGUGGGGUGCUCGAGUGGCGAACGGGUGAGUAACACGUGAGUAACCUGCCCUUGACUUUGGGAUAACUUCAGGAAACUGGGGCUAAUACCGGAUAGGAGCUCCUGCUGCAUGGUGGGGGUUGGAAAGUUUCGGCGGUUGGGGAUGGACUCGCGGCUUAUCAGCUUGUUGGUGGGGUAGUGGCUUACCAAGGCUUUGACGGGUAGCCGGCCUGAGAGGGUGACCGGCCACAUUGGGACUGAGAUACGGCCCAGACUCCUACGGGAGGCAGCAGUGGGGAAUAUGGCACAAUGGGCGGAAGCCUGAUGCAGCAACGCCGCGUGCGGGAUGACGGCCUUCGGGUUGUAAACCGCUUUCGCCUGUGACGAAGCGUGAGUGGCGGUAAUGGGUAAAGAAGCACCGGCUAACUACGUG